UCCGAUGAUGGCAUGGAAUCUUUGAGACCUGAUUUAUUAUUUUUCUGAUGAAAAGUAUAAGCAUAUAUAUUUCUGAGGAC
rfam:Ananas comosus cultivar MD2 ACMD2_Scaffold_1555, whole genome shotgun sequence.